rnacentral:rRNA from 1 species
UCCAGACUCCUACGGGAGGCAGCAGUGGGGAAUAUUGCACAAUGGGGGAAACCCUGAUGCAGCGACGCCGCGUGAGCGAAGAAGUAUUUCGGUAUGUAAAGCUCUAUCAGCAGGGAAGAAAAAAAUGACGGUACCUGAGUAAGAAGCACCGGCUAAAUACGUGCCAGCAGCCGCGGUAAUACGUAUGGUGCAAGCGUUAUCCGGAUUUACUGGGUGUAAAGGGAGCGUAGGCGGCGCGUUAAGUCUGAUGUGAAAACCCGAGGCUCAACCACGGGAGUGCAUUGGAAACUGGCGGGCUGGGGUGCCGGAGAGGUAAGCGGAAUUCCUAGUGUAGCGGUGAAAUGCGUAGAUAUUAGGAGGAACACCAGUGGCGAAGGCGGCUUACUGGACGGCAACUGACGCUGAGGCUCGAAAGCGUGGGGAGCAAACAGGAUUAGAUACCCCAGUAA